ensembl:lncRNA
AUUCUAGUCAUGAGUGCAUCUGUGUAAGUUGUUAUUGGAAGCCCAUGAUCUAUGCUCAGAGGUUAAAGAGAGCACAGCAGAUAGGUGUACAACUCUGGUGCUGUAGCUGGAAAGGCCGAUAGGAGAAGAUCAUGUCAGAAGUGAGUCCUAGCAAAGCCACGGAAAUACCUGAACAAUUAGUGAAGUUCUGAGGCUGGUUCUAGCAGGGUAAUGAUCCAAAAGAAGGUGGAAAGAAAGCAUAAAGAAGCAAGGACAGAAAGGAGUCCUUAGCAGUUCGCCCUGCAGAUUUCAAGGGCUAUUCUGAGAACACUCACUAGAGCCUUAAGGAAGAGGUGCAUGAUGUCCAGUAUUUCCAUGCUUUGAAUAUCAGUAGGAAGUGCUUGGUUCAAAUGCAGAAUGCAAGGUCAUCUUCCCCUUAUCACGAAUCACAAAUACCACUUACUGUGCUCAGUUUGAAGAUUAGAGGAUGAGUUGUUCAUGCCAGAGACUGCAGCUUCUGGCCUCAAAGGAACUCUGGACAGGCUGGUCAGAUACUGCAGCAAAGUGGCUUAGACUUAAGAUAGAGUCUCCAAGCAAUUACUAAAGAAUGGACAAAUUUCAGUUCCCAGAAGACCAGGAGCCAUGUGUGUUCUCUCUUCAUGGGUAGUUCAGAUAAACAAAUGUAAUGGUUCCAGAGCAAGGAUUUCACAAUGCUAACAACCGUGGACAUCAAAAAAGAACAGCAUUUAUGGUCGGCGACGUCUGGAACGGGAGUGUUAGCUCUUCCACAUCAUUUCCAGGUGGGCACGCUGUGCUCCAACGCACAAUCUCCCCCCAUUGCAUUCCCACUGGGUGUGCUGUGUUCCACUCAGGACCCGACUUUUAUUUAAAAAAAUAAAUAAAUAAAAAAGACCGUCUGCUUGAAGUGACUUUAUUAAUUCAUUUUGCUGUAUUUCUUGACAUGCC